rnacentral:rRNA from 1 species
UACGGAGUGUGCAAGCGUUACUCGGAAUCACUGGGCAUAAAGCGCGCGUAGGCGGGCUUUCAAGUCGGUUGUGAAAUCCCUCAGCUCAACUGAGGAACUGCAUCCGAUACUGUUUGUCUUGAGGACGAGAGGGGAGAGUGGAACUUCUGGUGGAGCGGUGAAAUGCGUAGAUAUCAGAAGGAACACCAGUGGCGAAGGCGGCUCACUGGUCCGGUACUGACGCUGAGGUGCGAAAGCGUGGGGAGCAAACGGG